rnacentral:rRNA from 1 species
AACGAACGCUGGCGGCAUGCCUAACACAUGCAAGUCGAACGAAGCCUUCGGGCUUAGUGGCGCACGGGUGCGUAACGCGUGGGAAUCUGCCCUUUGGUUCGGAAUAACAGUUGGAAACGACUGCUAAUACCGGAUGAUGACGAAAGUCCAAAGAUUUAUCGCCAGAGGAUGAGCCCGCGUAGGAUUAGCUAGUUGGUGUGGUAAAGGCGCACCAAGGCGACGAUCCUUAGCUGGUCUGAGAGGAUGAUCAGCCACACUGGGACUGAGACACGGCCCAGACGCCUACGGGAGGCAGCAGAGGGGAAUAUUGGACAAUGGGCGAAAGCCUGAUCCAGCAAUGCCGCGUGAGUGAUGAAGGCCCUAGGGUUGUAAAGCUCUUUUACCCGGGAAGAUAAUGACAGUACCGGGAGAAUAAGCCCCGGCUAACUCCGUGCCAGCAGCCGCCGUAA